rnacentral:lncRNA from 1 species
AGACGCAUCACGGGUGCUUGCGUGCCGCCGCCACUGCUGGCGGCCGAUGUCGCCGUCGAGCCCUGGGGCUCGAGUGCCGCCCAGUCAAAGCCGUCGUCGUCGCCGCUUUGCAUGGUGCGCGCUAGCAGUCUGCUGUGGGGGGGGCGCGCCGAGACAAACCCCGCGGAGCGAGUGAGAAGCAAACAAGGGAAAAAGAAGGGGCAAAAAAAAGGCCGACGGGCGGAAAAAGGAAGAGGCCUGUGCGCACUCUUUGUGGAAUAUUUUCUCGCGCAGCGGCCGACGCUCCUUUUUUCGCGCCCUCUUCUUUUGUUUCGUCCCGUUGCUCCUCCCUGGCGGCGGCGCAACAGCGGCUUUAAAGACAAGAAAAGAAAACUCGGCGGCGCCGCCUCUUUCUCCACGACGGCAGAGGAAAAGCCGCCGCCGGCGCGACACGGCCCCUUGCGCCGAUCGGCGCCGCGCCCGCCGACCAAAGUGGAUGCCAGCGACAGAGAGAAAUAAAGAGACGACGCUGCUCAAAAAAAGGCGUCAAAAGAGUGCUUUGUCCCCACGACAAGGCGGCCAAGAAAGAAGCGGGCCGCUCGACUUUUUUUCUUUUCGAAAAAGGAGGAAAAAAGGCAGGCCUGCCGACGCCAAAAACAAAGAGACCCACGGAAGAUUGUCCAAAAAAACAGAGCGCCCU